UAAAGGAGCGAUCCGGUGACGGAUGGGCAUGCGUGACAUUAGCUAGUCGGCGGGGUAACGGCCCACCGAGGCGACGAUGUCUAGGGGUUCUGAGAGGAAGGUCCCCCACACUGGUACUGAGACACGGACCAGACUCCUACGGGAGGCAGCAGUGAGGAAUAUUGGUCAAUGGGCUUACGCCUGAACCAGCCAAGUCGCGUGAGGGAAGACUGCCCUAUGGGUUGUAAACCUCUUUUGUCAGGGAGCAACGCCGGCUACGUGUAGCCGGACUGAGAGUACCUGAAGAAAAAGCAUCGGCUAACUCCGUGCCAGCAGCCGCGGUAAUACGGAGGAUGCGAGCGUUAUCCGGAUUUAUUGGGUUUAAAGGGUGCGUAGGCGGAAUGCCAAGUCAGCGGUAAAAUCGCGGGGCUCAACCUCGCUCCGCCGUUGAAACUGGCGUUCUUGAGUGGGCGAGAAGUAUGCGGAAUGCGUGGUGUAGCGGUGAAAUGCAUAGAUAUCACGCAGAACUCCGAUUGCGAAGGCAGCAUACCGGCGCCCAACUGACGCUGAAGCACGAAAGCGUGGGUAUCGAACAGGAUUAGAUACCCUGGUAGUCCACGCAGUAAACGAUGAAUACUAGCUGUUCGGGGCAAUUGGGCCUUGA
rnacentral:rRNA from 1 species